rnacentral:sRNA from 1 species
GCUGCAGCAAAAUCUGUAGCCGGGCGUGAGAACCCGAACCCCAGACGCGCACAACACGCGCCAGCGUGUUUUUU